rnacentral:lncRNA from 1 species
AUGAAUCGCAGCACACCAGGCCUCCUUGUCCAUCACCAGCUCCCAGAGUUCACUCAGACUCGCGUCCAUCGAGUCAGUGAUGCCAUCCAGCCAUCUCAUCCUCGGUCGUCCCCGUCUCCUCCUGCCCCCAAUUCCUACCCCCCCAGCAUCAGAGUCUUUUCCAAUGAGUUAAUUCUGAAAGAGAUGGGAAUACCAGACCACCUGACCUGCCUCUUGAGAAAUCUGUAUGCAGGCCAGGAAGCAACAGUUAGAACUGGAUAUGGAACAACAGACUGGUUCCAAAUAGGAAAAGGAGUAUGUCAAGGCUGUAUAUUGUCACCCUGCUUAUUUAACUUCUAUGCAGAGUACAUUAUAAGAAACACUGGACUGGAAGAAACACAGGCUGGAAUCAAGAUUGCUGGGAGAAAUAUCAAUAACCUCAGAUAUGCAGAUGACACCACCCUUAUGGCAAAAAGUGAAGAGGAACUAAAAAGCCUCUUGAUGAAAGUAAAAGAGGAGAGUGAAAAAGUUGGCUUAAAGCUCAACAUUCAGAAAAUGAAGAUUGUGGCAUCCGAUCCCAUCACUUCAUGGCAAAUAGAUGGGGAAACAGUGGAAACAGUGUUAGACUUUAUUUUCGGGGGCUCCAAAAUCACUGCAGAUGGUGAUUGCAGCCAUGGAAUUGAAAGACGCUUACUUGUUGGAAGAAAGGUUAUGAGCAACCUAGAUAGUAUAUUCAAAAGCAGAGACAUUACUUUGCCGACUAAGGUCCGUCUAGUCAAGGCUAUGGUUUUUCCAGUGGUCAUGUAUGGAUGUGAAAGUUGGACUGUGAAGGAGGCUGAGCACCAAAGAAUUGAUGUUUUUGAACUGUGGUGUUGGAGAAGACUCUUGAAGAUCCCUUGGACUGCAAGGAGAUCCAACCAGUCCAUUCUGAAGGAGAUCAACCCUGGGAUUUCUUUGGAAGGAAUGAUGCUAACGCUGAAGCUCCAGUACUUUGGCUACCUCAUGCGAAGAGUUGACUCAUUGGAAAAGACUCUGAUGCUGGGAGGGAUUGGGGGCAGGAGGAGAAGGGGACGACAGAGGAUGAGAUAG